AUACGGAGGAUGCGAGCGUUAUCCGGAUUUAUUGGGUUUAAAGGGAGCGUAGGUGGGAUAUUAAGUCAGCUGUGAAAGUUUGGGGCUCAACCUUAAAAUUGCAGUUGAUACUGGUUUCCUUGAGUACGGUAUAGGUGGGCGGAAUUCGUGGUGUAGCGGUGAAAUGCUUAGAUAUCACGAAGAACUCCGAUCGCGAAGGCAGCUCACCGGGCCGGAACUGACACUGAUGCUCGAAAGUGCGGGUAUCAAACAGGAUUAGAUACCCUGGUAGUCCGCACAGUAAACGAUGAAUACUCGCUGUUUGCGAUACACUGUAAGCGGCCAAGCGAAAGCGUUAAGUAUUCCACCUGGGGAGUACGCCGGCAACGGUGAAACAAAAAGGAAUUGACGGGG
rnacentral:rRNA from 1 species